GUGAGGAAUUUUCCGCAAUGGGCGAAAGCCUGACGGAGCAAUGCCGCGUGAAGGAUGAAGGCCUAUGGGUUGUAAACUUCUUUUCUCAGAAAAGAAUUAUGACGGUAUCUGAGGAAUAAGCAUCGGCUAACUCUGUGCCAGCAGCCGCGGUAAGACAGAGGAUGCAAGCGUUAUCCGGAAUGAUUGGGCGUAAAGCGUCUGUAGGUUGUUUAAAAAGUAUUCUGUCAAAGAUUAGGGCUUAACCCUAGAUAGGCAGAAUAAACUUUUAAGCUAGAGUUUGGUAGAGGCAGAGGCAAUUCCCGGUGGAGCGGUGAAAUGCGUAGAUAUCGGGAGGAACACCAAAGGCGAAGGCACUCUGCUGGGCCAAUACUAACACUGAGAGACGAAAGCGAGGGGAGCAAAUGGGAUUAGAAACCCUAGUAGUCC
rnacentral:rRNA from 1 species